rnacentral:tRNA from 1 species
GCCAAGUUUAAAUCAUUUCAAGAUUAUUGUUGCAAACAAAUGCUUAUUAAAAAAUUGAGUCUUGAUUUGUAAUCAAUAGGUCCGCGGUUCGACUCCGUGCGGGGGCACCA